ACACACACACACACAUACAGACUUGUACACACAAAUGAACACACAAACACACACAUUUAUGCGCUGAUGUUUUGUCUGGAAUGUUUCCUGUGUGUGUGUGUGUGUGUGUGUGUGUGUGUGUGUGUGUGUUGUAAUAGUCUCCUCACCAGCUUUCCCAAGAAGACCAUUAGACAGCUGCAGCUCAUCGAGAACUCUGCUGCCAGGGUUCUGACUAGAAGCAAAAAAGCAAAGCACUGUGCAAAGUCCGAACUGUGUAUAAUAUAAAACUUUCCUAUGCAGGGUUCUAGACAGGCACAUAUGGGGGGCAGUCAGAAAUGUGAAGGGGGCAUCAUGUGUACACAUCAUGUUCGAGCACGGUUUUUUCCCUGUGCUUAGAACUACAGUGUGGGGCGGGGCCUUACGUAGGGGUCUGUCAGACAACGGUAAUUUGUCUUCAGUCUGUCAAAUUCAGCAUACAUGGACUCAUCGCUGUGCAACACUGCAGCUUCUUCAAAGUCUUUCCACUCCGACAUUUAUUUGAGGGGGCGCUGCCCCUCUUGCCCCUGCGUAGAGCCGGCCUCGUUCCUAUGUACAGUUAUACACUGAUGUUUGGGUGUCUCUGUGUGUGUGUGUGUCUGUGUGUGUGUGUGUGUGUGUGUGUGUGUGUGUGUUUUAGGGCAUUGAUGUGAAGUCUAUGGAUUGUAUCUCUGUGGGUUUGAUAAAGUGCUGAGCUUGGGGCUGUUUCGAUGAGUUUAAUCGUCUGGAGGAAGCCGUGCUCUCUGCAGUGUCCAUGCAGAUACGAGCCAUUCAGGACUCACUGAGACAGCAUCGAGACACCUGUCACCUCCUGGGCAAAGAGAACUUGAGUGUCCAGGUGGAGGUAGACCCAAACUCUGGUGUGUUCAUCACUUUGAAUCCUGCCGGCAAAAGCUAUGGAGGGAGACAGAAACUUCCAGACAAUCUCAAGCAACUUUUCCGUCCGGUUGCCAUGACAACCCCUGGGGUCAUCCUUUACUCUGAGGGCUUCAAACAAGGGAAGGAGCUUGCACACAAACACACGGCUGUGUUCAACCUGGCUACGUUAACACACACACACACACACAGAGACACACACAUACACACAGACACACACAAACAUACACACACAAACAUACACACACACACACACACACACACACACACACACACACACAAAGACAUUAUACCAAUACACACUUCUUGUGGCUUCAGUCAGAUUGUGCCAAAAUAGAACCCAGCUGAGGUUAAGCAGCAUUUGAGGUUUUUGUGCCAAACAUAUCUUUUCGACCGACUCUGUUCUCUGCCCCCUCUUGUCUUUUUUUUGUCUAGUCUGGAGGGACAAAUUGUGGUGCCUCUUCUCCUUACUAGUAUGAUGGACUUCAUAGUGUUCCAUGAUGCAUCUAAUGAUACUGGUAAUGGAUAUUUUUUAACAGGGUGUGUAAACUUUUAUCUGCAGUAUACUAGUAUCACUAGGGAUUACAGUUGUCAGAUGUUGUUGGUAUUUUUGUGUUUAUGUUAGUGUGAGUGUUAUUGACUGUGUGUGUGUACAGUAUGUGUGUGUGUAGAGAGCUAUUGACUCCUCAGCAGCAUUAUGACUGGGGGCUGCGUGCGCUGAAGACGGUGCUGAAAGCUCACUGAACAACACACACAAUCACCAACCAGUGUGUCACAAAGCUUCGUCUCUAUCUUCUUCGAGACUAGUCUAGUCAGCGCUGUCCUGAAUGGUUUGUCUCAUUUGAGGGGUGUGAGUGAGCGGGGAGAGUUUAUAGUUGGAUUAAUCCGUGGACUUGGAGGAAAUCUGCAGCUAAAAUCACGACAGGAUUUUGCCAAGCAGGUCCUAAGCUGGGCAGAUGAGAGCCCUCCUGAUCCACGGAACCCUCUGAAUCUGUUCUACGAUUGUGACUCUGGGCUGUGGCAAGGGAAUGUUGUUGUGUUAUGUGUUUUCUAAGAUCCACUCAGGUGGCAGUGAUUCACUGCACUGCUCAGGCGACACGUCCUGCAGAAACUCACACAAACAUGCGUGUGCAUCAGCUCCAACACACACCGAGUGUAUCGGCCACGUGACUGGGAGCAGCUUGUCCUCUACCUCAAAGACAUCUGAUCGCUUUCCUUCAACAGGUGUUGAUGUAUCAGGGGUUUUAUGAUGAAAGUCUAGAGUGUGUUGGUUUGGAGAACAUUCAGAUUGUUUGUUCUAUGUCAGCUGGAGGCGCUGUGGGACGCCACACACUCACCUCCCGCUUUACCUCCAUAGUGCACAUCUGUACCAUGGAUUUUCCUGAGAGAGAACAGUUGCAGACAAUCUAUAGUGUAUUUCUUUCACCUUUCUUGCAAAGAACUCUGGGUAAUCAUCCCACCUGCAGUUCUGCUGGGAAGAUUCAUCAGCUGGCUGGAUCCUUAGUCCAAAUAUAUGAGCAGGUGAAGGUUAAGUUCACUGUCGAUGACAAAAGUCACUACCUGUUCACCCCAUGUUUGCUGACUCAGUGUUUAGUGCUCACCUGCAGUCAGGUCAUAUCUGAGAAGAACAUUGCAGACACCAACUAGCCCUCCUAAUGUCUCUGAAGAUGGACCCUGAUAUUGUCUCUCUGUCUCUGUUACUGCUACCAAUGAGUUGCUACGACUCUGUGUUGGAGGUGGUAGUGUACGAGGCUCACCGACUCUUCAGAGACAAACUCGCCUCAGAUAAAGACCUGCAUGCGUUUGACAACAUUCUCAGCUCUGUUAUUUAGGGGUUCUGAUGUGCUGGACAACCUGUCUGGAAGUGUUCAUGGAGCACGACAGACACUGGCCUGCUCUAGCUAAGGUGUUGAUAAGUGUGUACCAGUUGGAGAUACUAGAUGAGGACUCCAUUGUGCACUGGUUCUCUCAGGGAGCUCAGACACACAGCAAUGUAUGGAGAUAAACAAGACAACAGCUGAACAACAGAGUCUGAUACACUGUACACUCUAUUGGACUGAAAGCAGAGCAAUGAAGUGUGAUUGUGAUAGUUGUGUGUGACUGCCAGAAUCUGGAAAUCAACAUAUGAACUGGUUACUAAUCACUGACACACACACACACACACACACACACACACACACACACACACACUUAAGUCCAUAUAUAUUUGGACACAUGCAAAACUUUCAUACGUUUGGCUAUGUAUGCCACAGAAUAAAUUGAAAAUGAAAAAAAAAAUAAAAAGAUGCAUUUGAAGAGCAGAUGUUCAGCUUUAAUUCAAGGGGUUGAACAAAAUUAUCAAGUAAAAGGUUCAGGAUCUGCAACCAAUUUUAUGACUGCCUGAAGUCUGGAGCCCAUGGACAUCACCAGAGACUGGGUUUCCUCCUUUCUGAUACUUUGCCAGGCUUUAACUCAGCUGUCAUCAGUUAAUGUUUGUUCGUGAGUCUUUCUGCCUUUCGGCCAGGCCUUUUUAUGUUGCUGAGCUCACCGUUGCAUUCUAUUUUUUAUUAGCAUCCACCAAACUGUUGAUCUGGCCACUUCUAAUGUUCCUGCUAUCUCUCUGAUGGAUUUGUUUUUUUUUAUGAAGAAUAAUGAUGGCCUAUUUGACUUGCAUGGAGAGCCCCUUUGAAGGGAUGAUGUAGGUUCACAGCAACAGAUUCCAAUUGCAAAUACCACACUUAGAAUCAACUCCAGACCUGUUACCUGCUUCAUUGAUGGAGAAAUAAUGAAGGAAUAGCCUACACCGGUACAUGAAACAGCUUUUUAUUCAACUGUCCGAUUACUUUUGGUCCCUUAAAAAAGGGGGCUGGCUACACUUAAGAGCUGUAAUUCCUAAACCCUUCUUCGAUUUAUAUACCCUCAAAUUAAAGCUGAGAGUCUUUACAUUAUAAAUAUACAACUAUAGCCUGAAUAUGAAAAUGAAGAGAGAUUUUAUCUUAGUUUUUAUUUUAUACAAAACAUUUUCAUCUCGUCUGCACAUAGUUCUUAAACACCGGAGACCACUUCUUCAACAACUACACACACACACACACACUUUACCUGGCUUUAUGUCAUAGCAGUAAGCAAUCAAAUACACAGAGCACUUUUUAGGUGUCUACAGAAAUCAUCUAUAGUAAUCUCUGUCUGCCUCUCUCUCUCUCUCUAUAAUAUAUAUAUAUAUAUGAGAGAGAGAGAGAGAGAGAGAGAGAGGCAGACAGAGAGACAGGGAGACAGAGAGAUAGACAGACAGAGAGACAGAGACACAGACGGACAGACUCACAGGCAGAGAGACAGACUGGCAGACAUAAGAGACAGGCAGAUAGACAGUCUCACAAAGUGUCUACAGAGUACACCAUAAACUGCAUGUGAAUACUGACAGUUACCAUGGCAACAAUCUGUUCCCAUUGGCCAUGUUCCAAACAUAACGUUUCCUUCACUACAUGUCUAAAGAGUGCAAAAUGUGCUGGCACUUAGGUUUCGGCAAGCAGUGUAUAAUAGAAACAGCCUGUCGUCAUAGUAACCAUGGCAUUAUGUUUCGUGAUUUGGGACACAGCCCUAGUGUCAGUACCUUUAACUUCACCAAGCUUGGGUGAUUCAGAUCGACUCCCAGUAUCAUGUGACCCUUUACUGGCCUCGAUCUCUGUCUUACUCUCAGGACCAGACUUUAUAACCAGACCUGCACGCACACACAAGCACACACACACAGGAUCACAAUGCAAACACAGACCAUUCAUUUACUUGUGUGUGUACUAGGGAUGUUCCGAUCAAGUUUUUUUGCCCUCGAGUCCGAGUCAUUUGAUUUUGAGAAUCUGCCGAUUCUCGAGUACCGAUCCGAUACCUCUAUAAUACAUUAAAAAAGAAUAAAGAAGAGCGAAUAAACAGAUCCAGGAUGUUCCUUAUUUUUUAUUUAAUUCAUAUUUUAACAUUCAACAACAUCUGUUAACAAACAAAGCACUUCUGUGAGGUAGCUUGAACAAUCAAGUAAUAAUUAACAAAUUCUUCACUUAUCGACUUUAGUGCAACAGUAAAUAUAAAAAAGUCUAAUAUAAAAACAAAUAGCACCUCAACUUAAAAUACCCAGCAGGCAUGUAAACAAAAAAAUAAAAAAUAAAAGUGCCACAGAGUCUGCACUCCUAACUCUUACUGUCAUCACAUUAAGGAACAAAACAUGGGGUACAUCUGAUAACAGGACAAGUAAUUUGUCAGAAAUCUUCUUAUAAAGGGCUGGCAGAGCUUUCUUGGUGAAAUAGUGGCGAGACGGCAUUUCAAAUCGAGGUUCUACGUGCUCCAUAAGCAUAAGAAAUCCAGGGUUCUCUACAAAGGCGAAUGGCAGGUCACUCAUUGCGAUCAUUUGUGCUAUCUUGGCUGUGAUGUCCUGUGCCUUUGCGCUGUCACUGGACAUUGUUUCUCUCCUCUGCAAACUGACCUGCAGCGUGAACUGACUCGUCUUCGGCUGGGUUGCCUGGGUAAACUCGCUGUAUUGUGUCGGGUGUUUGUUUUUGAGAUGCCGUAUAAGGUUUGUUGUGUUAAAUGUAGCCUUUUCCUUUCAACCUCUUGAAAUCCCAAGUUUACAUAUCUCACACUUUGCUAUGGCAAUGUUGUUGUCAUCAACCUUAUAAUACCUCCAGACGACAGACAUACUCGCGCUUUCCACUUCAAGCUGCUUCCGUGUUCUACUUUUAACCAAUAGCGUCUCUGCAAACACGAGCUGCUGUUUCUGUG